UACGGAUGAUGCGAGCGUUAUCCGGAUUUAUUGGGUUUAAAGGGUGCGUAGGCGGAUUAAUAAGUCAGUGGUGAAAUCCUGCAGCUUAACUGUGGCACUGCCGUUGAUACUGUUAGUCUUGAGUAUGGUCAAGGUAGGCGGAAUGUGUAAUGUAGCGGUGAAAUGCUUAGAUAUUACACAGAACACCGAUUGCGAAGGCAGCUUACUGGGCCGUUACUGACGCUGAUGCACGAAAGCGUGGGGAUCGAACAGGA
rnacentral:rRNA from 1 species